GCAAACUUGGUCAUUUAGAGGAAGUAAAAGUCGUAACAAGGUCUCCGUUGGUGAACCAGCGGAGGGAUCAUUAUAGAGUGUAAAAACUCCCUAAACCCAUGUGAACAUACCUACAGUUGCUUCGGCGGGAUCGUCCCAGGCGCCUCGUGUGCCCUGGAUCCAGACGCCCGCCGGGGGACCAAACUCUUGCUUUUACUGAGUUAUCUUCUGAGUCGUUUUUAUAAAUGAAUAAAAACUUUCAACAACGGAUCUCUUGGCUCUGGCAUCGAUGAAGAACGCAGC
rnacentral:misc_RNA from 1 species